GACGUAGGGUGCAAGCGUUGUCCGGAUUUACUGGGCGUAAAGAGCGCGUAGGCGGUUCAUUAAGUGUGAAGCUAAAUCUCCCGGCUUAACCGGGAAACUAUUUCGCAUACUGAUGGGCUGGAGUGAUGCAGAGGUGGAUAGAAUUCCCGGUGUAACGGUGAAAUGUGUUGAUAUCGGGAGGAAUACCCGUGGCGAAGGCGGUCCACUGGGCAGCAACUGACGCUGAGGCGCGAAAGCGUGGGUAGCAAACAGG
rnacentral:rRNA from 1 species